CGGGUGAGUAACGCGUAUGCAACCUACCAUCAACAGGGGGAUAACACUGAGAAAUUGGUACUAAUACCCCAUAAUAUCUCAUGCAGCAUCGCAUGGGGUUGAAAACUCCGGUGGUUGAUGAUGGGCAUGCGUUGUAUUAGCUGGUUGGUGAGGUAACGGACCACCAAGACGACGAUGCGUAGGGGUUCUGAGAGGAAGGUCCCCCACACUGGUACUGAGACACGGACCAGACUCCUACGGAAGGCAGCAG
rnacentral:rRNA from 1 species